UACGGAGGAGGCAAGCGUUAUCCGGAAUUAUUGGGCGUAAAGCGUCCGCAGGUGGCACUUCAAGUCUGUCGUCAAAGACUGGGGCUUAACCCUGGAAAGGCGGUGGAAACUGAAGCGCUAGAGUGCGGUAGGGGUAGAGGGAAUUCCCGGUGUAGCGGUGAAAUGCGUAGAUAUCUGGAGGAACACCGGUGGCGAAGGCGGCAUUCUGGACCGAAACUGACGCUGAGGCGCGAAAGCCAGGGGAGCAAACGGG
rnacentral:rRNA from 1 species